rnacentral:rRNA from 1 species
UACGUAGGUGGCAAGCGUUGUCCGGAUUUACUGGGCGUAAAGGGCGUGCAGGCGGUUUGUUAAGUGCAGGGUGAAAGCUCCCGGCUCAACUGGGAGAGGUCCUUGCAUACUGGCGAACUCGAGGGAGGCAGAGGAAAGUGGAAUUCCCGGUGUAGUGGUGAUAUGCGUAGAUAUCAGGAGGAACACCCGUGGCGAAAGCGGCUCUCUGGGACGGUACUGACGCUGAGACGCGAAAGCGUGGGGAGCAAACAGG